UUUCUGGAGGAAAGGAGAGAAAAUAUCUUAGAGAUAAAAAUCAAUUUUUGACCAAAAUCCGAGCCCCGAAUUCCAAAGCUCAUGAAGAGAAAAGUGUUGUACGACGCGUUGUCUUCAAUUUGAGCUAAAGAUCAACCAAGGAGGAGAGUGAUAACGUGGUGGCUGAAUUCUUAAGAUUUUGGGCGAAACGGGAUUUGAAUUUGGAGAAGCGUAAGGAGCGAAUAAGGUACACCCAGAUGAUAUGAAGUUAUUAUAGAAGAUGUUCCAGGAGUUGGCAGGCUCCAUUUGUUCUCGGAGUGUUGCCGAGUCAGAGUUUGUAUGUUAUGAUUUCUGGAUUUAUGUUAGAGACUUUGCAGACAGAGUCGUGGGUAUUGGUUAUCAGUCUGUAAGCGGCUCCAUCAGCCGAUAUGUCAUUCUGUGUUAUGUAGUAAAUUUUAUAUAAUUACGGAUUUUGCCUAAAAUUGAGAACGAUAAAAGAUGGAUUUCGAAAGCUUAAUAUGUAUUUUACUUUUAUCUGAUUUUCAGCGUCUGAAAAAAUUAUGUGUGUAAUAAGAAUCUGUGGGUUCGCUCGGCUCCGGAUAUGGGGUCGG